rnacentral:rRNA from 1 species
GAUGAACGCUGGCGGCGUGCCUAACACAUGCAAGUCGAGCGUGAUUGUGUGGAUUGAAGCUUCGGCAGAGAGAAACACAUGAAAGCGGCGGACGGGUGAGUAACGCGUGGGCAACCUGCCCCAUACAGCGGAAUAGCCACUGGAAACGGUGAUUAAUGCCGCAUAAGACCACAGAGUCGCAUGGCUCGGGGGUCAAAGAUUUAUCGGUAUGGGAUGGGCCCGCGUCUGAUUAGCUAGUUGGUGAGGUAACGGCUCACCAAGGCGACGAUCAGUGGCCGACCUGAGAGGGCGGACGGCCACACUGGAACUGAGACACGGUCCAGACUCCUACGGGAGGCAGCAGUGGGGAAUAUUGCACAAUGGGCGCAAGCCUGAUGCAGCAACGCCGCGUGAGUGAAGAAGGCCUUCGGGUCGUAAAGCUCUGUCCUGUGGGAAGAAAAAAAUGACGGUACCACAGGAGGAAGCCCCGGCUAACUACGUGCCAGCCGCCGCAGUAAUAC